AAGAAGGAGAGGAGGGAGGAAGGGGGGAGGGAGAUGGGGUUGAGGGAGAGGAGGGAGACGAGGAGGGCGGGGGUGAGGGAGGGGAGAAGGGAUUUGAGGGAGGAGUCGAAGGGGGUUUUGUCGGAGUCGGCGAUGGCGCGGGAGAUGGUGAGGAGGAGGGGGUCGGAAGGUUGGGGAGAGGGAGGGGAGAACCAUGGGGAAGGCGUGGAGGAAGAGGUGGAGAGGGGGUUCGAGUGGAGGUGGAGGAGGGAGAGCGAAGGUGGGAGGUUGGGGGUAGGCCUUCUUGCGUCAGUGUGCAUGGCUUUGCCCGGG
rnacentral:lncRNA from 1 species